CCCUGGACAUUGACCAGUGGUAGCACAACUACCACGGCAAGUCCAGGGGUCGGCACGGCUGCCCACAACAGAAACAAAUCCGACCCGAGGUUGACCCGCACGACUCCGGGAUGCUUCGGAUUGCUCCGACCCGGUGCGUUCCAGUUGCCCCGCCUUUCACUAGUGUGUGUAUAGAAGAACGUGCGUGAGUUGUCGGAUCGCUGACCAAGGAGUAGGAGAAGGAUGUAAAAGUGAGUUAAUGUUUAACGAGCCCGUUGUAACAAUAAUAAUUAGAAAAUAAACUUCAAAUAUAUUUGUGUUUUUUGGUAGCAUUUAUCAAA